GAUGAACGCUAGCUACAGGCUUAACACAUGCAAGUCGAGGGGAAACGGCAUUAAGUGCUUGCACUUUUUGGACGUCGACCGGCGCACGGGUGAGUAACGCGUAUCCAACCUUCCCAUGACUAAGGGAUAACCUGCCGAAAGGCAGACUAAUACCUUAUGGUCUUCACUGACGGCAUCAGAUGUGAAGUAAAGAUUUAUCGGUUAUGGAUGGGGAUGCGUCUGAUUAGCUUGUUGGCGGGGUAACGGCCCACCAAGGCAACGAUCAGUAGGGGUUCUGAGAGGAAGGUCCCCCACAUUGGAACUGAGACACGGUCCAAACUCCUACGGGAGGCAGCAGUGAGGAAUAUUGGUCAAUGGGCGAGAGCCUGAACCAGCCAAGUAGCGUGCAGGAUGACGGCCCUAUGGGUUGUAAACUGCUUUUGUAUGGGGAUAAAGUCAGUCACGUGUGAUUGUUUGCAGGUACCAUACGAAUAAGGACCGGCUAAUUCCGUGCCAGCAGCCGCGGUAAUACGGAAGGUCCGGGCGUUAUCCGGAUUUAUUGGGUUUAAAGGGAGCGUAGGCUGGAGAUUAAGUGUGUUGUGAAAUGUAGACGCUCAACGUCUGACUUGCAGCGCAUACUGGUUUCCUUGAGUACGCACAACGUUGGCGGGAUUCGUCGUGUAGCGGUGAAAUGCUUAGAUAUGACGAAGAACUCCGAUUGCGAAGGCAGCUGACGGGAGCGCAACUGACGCUGAAGCUCGAAGGUGCGGGUAUCGAACAGG
rnacentral:rRNA from 1 species